rnacentral:lncRNA from 1 species
GCUUUGGCUUUGGUUUUGGUUUUGGUUUUGGUUUUGGUUUUGGUUUUGGUUUUGGUUUUGGUUUUGGUUUUGGCUUUGGUUUUGGUUUUGGUUUUAGGCUUUAGUAUGUGUCUGUCCUAUUUUUCCAGUAUCAUUUUAUAAAGAUAUUCUGAUCCAAGAAAUAACUUUUUUCCACCUGUCCUCUGCUGUGGAUUUCUGGGCAUCUUCAGUUCCAUUCUUUUGGUUUUUAUUCUUGGCAAGCAUCACAAUGUCUUGACUGAUGCAGCUUCUUUGUUAAUCUUUGAAUCAGUGAUAUCAGUCUCCCAACUUUAUCCUUUUUUCAAUGUUUUAUUUACUCCUUUGUAUUUUUCUAGGUUUCCAUAUUCAUUUUAAAAUUGGUUUGUUUAUAUCCAUAAAAUAACUUGCUGGAAUUUUUAUUGAGUUUGUACUGAACCAAUAAAAUAAAUGAGACUACACUGAGUAUUCUUAAUAAAUCUGAAAUAACCCUUCCAUUUAUUUAUUUCUUUGUGGUUUUUUAUUAGAGUUUUAUAGUUUUGCUUAUGAAAAUUUUGUACCUAUUUCCAUGUAUUUGUACAAAACUACUUUAUAUUAACGUACAUGCUAGAUGAUAUUAUGGUUCCCAUUUCUCUUUAUUUUUCUAGUAUAUGAGAAAAUGAUUGGGUCUUAUGUACUAACCUUGUAUCCAAAAACCAUGUUGAAAUUGCUUACUAGUUUCUGAUUUGAGUGGAGUACUGAGUUUAGUUUUGCUGUUCCUUUGAAAUUUCCAUAUAGAAAAUUACAUAAUCCAUAAACAAAGACAUUUAUAGACAAAGUUUUGUUUCUCCUUGCCAAGCCCAUUAACUCUCAAUUUAAAUUUCUAAGCUUAUUUAAUUAUCUAGACUUUCCUUGGUACUAUAGAGAAGUAGUUGAAGUAGCAUCUCUGCCUUCCUCUUAGUAGGAAAGUUUUGAGUUUCUCACCAUGAGUUGUAGAUAUUUUGUAAUUGUUUUUAUGGUCAAAUUGAAAAAGUUCCUCUGUUCCCUGUUUAACUGAGAGCUGUUUUCACAAAUACCUGUCAACUGUAUACACUUGUGUCAUAUGCAGCUUAAGGCAUGAAUAAGACUUUAAGUAAUCAAAGGGUCAAAAGAAAAUCCAAGUCUACAAAUAAAUGAUUAUUGUUGUCAUGGUUACAACCUUAACAUUCUGAUACACAUACCUCUUUAUUAUAAACUCCUGGGAAGCAAAAACUAUCAGCUUUAAGCAUUAUAAAGCACUCCUGAAACUAUAACAUUCUCUCAGUUGAUAUUUAUUCAGAAAAUGAAGAGAGAAAGUAUGGUAACUAGGACAGUUACUAUAUGAGACUAGUGCAAUGGAAUUCCAGGAAAGCUAAUGUUAAGGAGCACGAAGGAAAAUGAAUGCUCAUAUACCAAUUAAGGGCACAGGAAUACUCUCUAAGUAUACAAAAGGGACUACAACUACAAUGCAAAUAAAUACAAAUAGAAUUACAAUUAUAAUUACAAUCACAGAUGGGAAAAUAACACUAGAAAAGGCCAACAGAGGGAGAGUCAGGGCUUUGAGGAAAAAAUAGUAAUUUAACUAAAGUCAAGAACUUUCAAUAAAAUCACCAUUUAGACUAUUUCUAUGUAUCAGAACAGUGAGGCUCUGAAUAUUUGUUAGAGGAAAGUGCUGUGUUCAUGCCAGUGUCCAAAGCUGAUGCUAAAAUGCCACCAUAUAAAGACAGAAAGCUGAUCCAAGAUUUUAAGAAUGGCAUACCCAAGAGAGCCUUGAGGCAGCUUUAGUUCUAAAGGUAGAUAUUUGGGCAAAAGUAGGUCAAUGAGAGAAAUGAAGUUUCCCUAUUGGAAAAAUCUGAAUGUGAACCACUAACCUGGAGCUACUUUGCUUAAUGAGGAAAGGGGAAGCACUAGAAAAUUCAUGAGUUAACUACUCACUAUAUACAGAUUUCUGGAGAAUUAUUAAGUAAUUAGAACUGGCAGCAAGAAAAGGCUGCAAGAACAUUUUCACAAGACAAUAAGUAAAUAUCCCCAGAAAAGACAGUUGAAUGAUGCUUCAACCACAAGUUUCAAGGAUCCCACAAAGGUUAGAGGUUAGUGAAAUAUUUGUAUAUCUCUAUAUUUUAUCACUGAAGGUGAAUUACAUCCAUUCAUUGUAGCUAACAGUGAAUGUAUUUAUGUUAGUGUGCUGUAAUUUUUUUCUGUAAUAAUUCUUCAGACACCGUAAGUACGUAGGAACUUCUGAAAUUCUAUUAGCAAGGUUUAUGGGAAGUCUUGCCAUUUGAAUAGCCACUGCCCAAGCACCUGAUGACAGUUACCAAAUAGCACUAAUAUUUCAAUUUAGUAGCUACCAAAAAAAAGGUAAAAUUAAUUGCCUUUUACUCCAGAACAGCUUUCUAAAUUGACAGGUCCUGGAGUUGGAUCAAGCCCAGUGACACCUGACCCUCCCCCUUUCAUUGGUUUGGAUAACCACCAAGUCAAUGGACUGGAUUCCUAAAGCUGUUGUCGUUGCUGUGACAAACCAUCUCUAACUAGGUGGCUUAAAACAAUAGAGAGUGAUUUUUGUGUGUGUGUCUCUAAGUACUACAGUCUAAAACCAUAGUGUCAGAAAACCAUAGCCCCUCUGAAACUGUUGUGGAAUCUUUUCCUGCAUCUUUCUACAUUGUGAUGGAUUGCUGGCAAUUUUAAAUGUUCCUUGGCUUGCAUCUGUGUAGCUCCCCUCACUUCUCUCAUUACACAGCAUGUUUUGGUGUAGCACUCAAUUUCCCUGAAUGUUUUCUUUUAAGGAGUCUGGUCAGAUUGGAUAAGCAGAUCACUCAACUCCAUCAUGACCACUUUUUAAUAUGUUUACAAUUGAGUCUAUUUCUUCAUCUGUCACAUUCUGAGCUAUUGAGGGGCCGGGACUGAAAGAUAUUUUAUAGGACAGAUCAAUAGGCAACCCAAAGCAUAAACAUCUCAGCAACAAAGACUUCUUAUGUCACUUCCUAUGUCCCAACCUCAGCCAGGCCUAGCCCAGCAGUAUUUGUUGAAUGAAGAGCUCUGCUCUGUUUGCUGGAGACAUGAGAAUUGAGUCUCUAUAUUCUUCAAGGGCGUUCUCCUGGUCUAGCUUCUUCCUCCAGGGCUCCACCACAGUUCCUCUAUAACCCUUUAAUCCAGUCAUGUGUGAGAACUUACCUUUUCUCAAACUUCAUUUAUUCUCUCAGAGCUGCCUUUCCAUAUUCAUGAAACAUCCUUCCACUUACAGUCUGUGUCAAACUGGUGCUCUCUUCUUUGUUAGAAUGUGUAUCUAAAAUGUGGUGAAGUGAUGGGUGUAAUUAUAGCACAAUUUGUUAUUUCUAUGUACUCUCUAUUCCCUCAAAGUUAGAGUCCAUGACAUCAGGAGUUAAACUGCAUUUAUAAUUAUAUUUCUACCAUCAAGCACAACACCAAGAGUUGAUUUAUCUUGAAACUCUAC